rnacentral:rRNA from 1 species
UACGGAGGGUGCGAGCGUUAAUCGGAAUAACUGGGCGUAAAGGGCACGCAGGCGGGCUUUUAAGUGAGGUGUGAAAUCCCCGGGCUUAACCUGGGAAUGGCAUUUCAAACUGGGAGUCUAGAGUACAUUAGGGGGGGGUAGAAUUCCACGUGUAGCGGUGAAAUGCGUAGAGAUGUGGAGGAAUACCGAAGGCGAAGGCAGCCCCGUGGGAAUAUACUGAC